rnacentral:rRNA from 1 species
GAGUUUGAUCAUGGCUCAGAUUGAACGCUGGCGGCAGGCCUAACACAUGCAAGUCGAGCGGAUGACGGGAGCUUGCUCCUUGAUUCAGCGGCGGACGGGCGAGUAAUGCCUAGGAAUCUGCCUGGUAGUGGGGGACAACGUUUCGAAAGGAACGCUAAUACCGCAUACGUCCUACGGGAGAAAGCAGGGGACCUUCGGGCCUUGCGCUAUCAGAUGAGCCUAGGUCGGAUUAGCUAGUUGGUGGGGUAAUGGCUCACCAAGGCGACGAUCCGUAACUGGUCUGAGAGGAUGAUCAGUCACACUGGAACUGAGACACGGUCCAGACUCCUACGGGAGGCAGCAGUGGGGAAUAUUGGACAAUGGGCGAAAGCCUGAUCCAGCCAUGCCGCGUGUGUGAAGAAGGUCUUCGGAUUGUAAAGCACUUUAAGUUGGGAGGAAGGGCAGUAAGUUAAUACCUUGCUGUUUUGACGUUACCGACAGAAUAAGCACCGGCUAACUCUGUGCCAGCA